UGCGAACUGCGAACUUGUGUGACUCCCGGUUCAUCCUUUUUAUUCGGGUCAUUGGGUUGGUGUUGGAGUUGGUCACCAUAUUCUGAACGUUUCACCUAUCGUUGCGGUGUACUGUUCUUGAUCUGCUGCGAAGCGACGAACCGCAACGGCAGUCACUCGCCUCAGCGAACUUCUGUCUGCUGCAUCUCAAAGGAGCAUGGGGACCUGAUGAUACCUUCAACUAAAGAAACCAAAUGUGCUCUCGUGUGGUCCUGACGGAAAAGUAGUAUCAACAAGGCUAUGCCGCUCCGAAGCAUUGAGAUGACGAAGCGUCGUGGUAGCUGCACCUCUGCCUUCGAAAGAUGAAUCAGUUAUUCCACACUGUGCUUACUGGCUUUGUAUAGAGUCUGGCAAAUCCGACAGACUUGGACUGCCUUUUUCAAGAAAGUUUGAAAUAGCAUCCCUUAUGCACCUGCAUUUCAAUUCCAAUCUGUAUUACAAGAAUGACAGACCACUCAACAGAGAUGAACAUCUGAAAGUGAAAGAGCUGGAAUGAAGAUACGUUAAUCUGUGUCAAAGGUUCUUAAUAUGUGUACUAGUCGAGGACAUUAAUUCUCAAGCUUAUUCCUCUCUUCAGAAGAGGUGACAACUAUGCUC